AAAGUUCUUCAGGGCAGGGUGAGUUUGGCGGCGCGCAAGGCCGCCAGACAAUUCCCGACCGGCGGUAAACCCCGCGAGCGUUUCGAGAUCGGAGCGCAGGACCCGGUGAGACUCCGGGGGCGACGGUAGAGUCCGGAUGAAAGAAGAAUCGG
rnacentral:ncRNA from 2 species